CCUACGGGAGGCAGCAGUGGGGAAUAUUGGACAAUGGGGGCAACCCUGAUCCAGCCAUGCCGCGUGUGUGAAGAAGGCCCUCGGGUUGUAAAGCACUUUCAGUGAGGAAGAACGCCUGGUGGUUAAUACCCAUCAGGAAAGACAUCACUCACAGAAGAAGCACCGGCUAACUCCGUGCCAGCAGCCGCGGUAAUACGGAGGGUGCGAGCGUUAAUCGGAAUUACUGGGCGUAAAGCGCGCGUAGGUGGCUUGAUAAGCCGGUUGUGAAAGCCCCGGGCUCAACCUGGGAACGGCAUCCGGAACUGUCAAGCUAGAGUGGAGGAGAGGAAGGUAGAAUUCCCGGUGUAGCGGGGAAAUGCGUAGAGAUCGGGAGGAAUACCAGUGGCGAAGGCGGCCUUCUGGACUGACACUGACACUGAGGUGCGAAAGCGUGGGUAGCAAACAGGAUUAGAUACCCUGGUAGUC
rnacentral:rRNA from 1 species